rnacentral:misc_RNA from 1 species
GUUCGGGUCAUAAAUAGGUCAACCUAUUUAGACAUAAUGUAAAUAAAAUUUGAAAUUUUCUAAUAUUAAAAAGAACUCAUUUGUUUUAUUUAUAAACCUAAAAAUCUAAGAGAAACUGGUUGGAUAAAAAAUUAUAACUCAUUAAAUAAAUUAAAUACGUGAACACAUGUGAGGUUGGCUUAAUAAUAUUUAUAGACAUCAUUUCAGGAACAUUUAUGUUUAUAUAUUUAACAUUUGAUGUUUGGGAAAAGUUU